GAUGAACGCUGGCGGCGUGCCUAAUACAUGCAAGUCGAGCGAAUGGAUUAAGAGCUUGCUCUUAUGAAGUUAGCAGCGGACGGGUAAGUAACACGUGGGUAACCUGCCCAUAAGACUGGGAUAACUCCGGGAAACCGGGGCUAAUACCGGAUAACAUUUUGAACCGCAUGGUUCGAAAUUGAAAGGCGGCUUCGGCUGUCACUUAUGGAUGGACCCGGGUCGCAUUAGCUAGUUGGUGAGGUAACGGCUCACCAAGGCAACGAUGCGUAGCCGACCUGAGAGGGUGAUCGGCCACACUGGGACUGAGACACGGCCCAGACUCCUACGGGAGGCAGCAGUAGGGAAUCUUCCGCAAUGGACGAAAGUCUGACGGAGCAACGCCGCGUGAGUGACGAAGGCUUUCGGGUCGUAAAACUCUGUUGUUAGGGAAGAACAAGUGCUAGUUGAAUAAGCUGGCACCUUGACGGUACCUAACCAGAAAGCCACGGCUAACUACGUGCCAGCCGCCGCGGUAA
rnacentral:rRNA from 1 species